AAUGAACGUUGGCGGCGUGGAUUAGGCAUGCAAGUCGCGCGAGAAAUUUCCUUCGGGAAAUGGACAGCGGCGGAAGGGAGAGGAAUAAGUAGAAAUCUGCCCUCGGGACGGGGAUAGCGGUGGGAAACUGCCGGUAAUACCCGAUAACAUCUUUGGAUCAAAUGGUGUGAUUCCGCCUGAGGAUGAGUCUACUUCCUAUUAGCUAGUUGGUGGGGUAAUGGCCUACCAAGGCAACGAUGGGUAGCGGGUGUGAGAGCACGACCCGCCUCACUGGGACUGAGACACUGCCCAGACACCUACGGGUGGCUGCAGUCGAGAAUCUUCGGCAAUGGGGGAAACCCUGACCGAGCGACGCCGCGUGCGGGAUGAAGGCCCUUGGGUUGUAAACCGCUGUCGUAAGGGAACAAAUCCAUAGGGGUACUUCCCUAUGGUUGAGUGAUCUUAGGAGGAAGGACGGGCUAAGUUCGUG
rnacentral:rRNA from 1 species